GAUGAACGCUGGCGGCGUGCCUAAUACAUGCAAGUCGAGCGAACAGACGAGGAGCUUGCUCCUCUGACGUUAGCGGCGGACGGGUGAGUAACACGUGGAUAACCUACCUAUAAGACUGGGAUAACUUCGGGAAACCGGAGCUAAUACCGGAUAAUAUAUUGAACCGCAUGGUUCAAUAGUGAAAGACGGUUUUGCUGUCACUUAUAGAUGGAUCCGCGCCGCAUUAGCUAGUUGGUAAGGUAACAGCUUACCAAGGCAACGAUGCGUAGCCGACCUGAGAGGGUGAUCGGCCACACUGGAACUGAGACACGGUCCAGACUCCUACGGGAGGCAGCAGUAGGGAAUCUUCCGCAAUGGGCGAAAGCCUGACGGAGCAACGCCGCGUGAGUGAUGAAGGUCUUCGGAUCGUAAAACUCUGUCAUUAGGGAAGAACAAAUGUGUAAGUAACUAUGCACGUCUUGACGGUACCUAAUCAGAAAGCCACGGCUAACUACGUG
rnacentral:rRNA from 1 species